rnacentral:lncRNA from 1 species
UUCGGGUGCCCCCCCCCCCCAAAUCUCGUCGACUCCAAGGCCUGCUACGUGUCCCCGCCCCGACACCUAAGCAUCAGACAGACCCGGGUAGGGGUGGGGGAGGGAAGAGAACUACAGCGCGCUUCACGCUUUUAUAGCCGCGGAGUGGGCCAGCUGGCCAAUCAGGAAGCGUACCGCGCCUGUGACGUCACAUGGCGCUGGGCCAUUGACGUCCCCCGCCCGCCCCUCCAGCCGAGGCGCCCCAGACAGAGACCGGAGGGUGGGCAGUGAGAAAUGGAAGGGAAGAGCCAGACGCCGGGGCGGGGAUAAAAAGAAGUUGACCGAGGUGGGGGAGGGCGGAGAGAAACAGUAAUGGUGGGACAUGAACUUGAUAAGGAAAGAAAAUGAGGAAGGUGACGAGAAAGAGACAUGGUCGGUGAAGAAAAAAAAAACAGUGAUCGAGAUGCGGAGGGUGAGAAGUUGAAAAAAGAAGGAAGCCCUCCGGAAGCCAGCAGAUGGCGAGGCCUCCUCACCCGCACAGGUGACUCCAACGUCCUCGUUGUGGGCACAGUUGUGCUUCCCCCAGGGAGAGGCGGGGCAGUCAGCCAGGGCAGCCUCGGUCCCCGUGCACCUCACGUCGUCCAGCCAGAUGGGGCCGGCGCCCCAGCCGAAACGGCCGGCGGUGGGGUCGGGCUGCUGUGGCCCCCCACAGCCCAGCUCCCGGCAGACCACGGCCGCGUCCCGCAGGUCCCAGCCAUCGUCACACACGGUCCCCCAGCGUCCCGCAUGCCAUACCUCCAGCCGGCCUGAGCACCUGCUAGGUCCCGCCACCAGGCGCAGCUGGGGGGACCCUGGGGUGGGGGUGGGGGUGGGGGACACAGAUAAUUCGAAGUGGGCCCUCCACCGUCUUCCCUCUGUGCAUUCACCCAGGAGGAGACCCCAGCUGGCCCAGACGCUCUGUGCUCUCCUCCCCUCUGUCCUCUGAGUGGGGCGGGGCCCC